UCAACAGGGUUGCACAGGAUCCUGCUUCCUCAAUUUCCUGAGAAGAUUUCUGCCAGCUUCCUCCUAUAUCUGAUCCAGAUCUAAGGGGGUCUUGAUCCUCUUCAGUGCAGCUCUGAUCCACCUGGGCUUUAGACCUACUGCAGCAUCAUGGACAGGUCCUCUCUUAACAGCUCAGCCUUACACUGUCCUGUCCAACAAGCACAGCAGCCACAGCCAGGCAUUUUUAUGGGCUGAGGCAUCUCUGCUUGUCCCAGAUGCCUGGUGACACAUUGGUGUUGAGGCCACUUUGUUGCUGGGCUUGGUCUUAAAUCAAUAUUGUGUGCAUCAGUGUCCCAUGUCUCCACUGAUCUGUGGUCAUCUCCUUUCAGAGGAUUCUACGUUCAGAACAUUCCCCAUCAUGAGUCCAUCGCAGCAGAGGGGAAAAGGAGCUGAUGGUGGGACAAUCCAACCCAACAAAAUCCCUCUGCAGGGAGGCAGCAGAUGAAGAGAAAAAGAGAAGAAUCAAGUGUGAGAGCAUCAGCAUCCUAAGCCAGAGUGCAUGGCCCAGGGCAUGCAAUAACCCUCAGCCCAAACAGCUCAGGAAAGGAGAAGGAAUGUGCCCAAACUGAGGACUUUCCCGUGCAGGAUUAAAGCUCAUAGUCCUGGAUAAUCUCUUGGCUGAGGAUGCAUUGGGGACUAGCAGGGAAAGGCUGGUCAGCCCACACUAGCCCAGCCCAGGCUGCCUCCCAUCUCCAGAUGCUGACACAAGCAGCUUCUACCCUGAAUCGUGGGCUGGUGAAGCCUAAGGCAAUGUGGACACAUCUUGAGCCUUUGAAGUGUAGGUCUUUCAGCAUCCCCCAGGAAAAUGCUGGCAUGGAUUUCCCUGCCCAGGCUGGGCAAGGACAAGCUUCCCCCACAUGGCUGCAGACAGCAGCAACCUGGUUGAUUCUACGAACACACAGGGGCUGUGAGAGCAAGAGAUGCAUUUGCUCACCAUCAGUAUCACAUGUGUUUAAAAAAGUAAGCUUCCUGCAUAUCUGAGACCCAGAUGGCUUGUCCUGCUCAGCCAGGAGCUGCCUGGUGAGCACAGAGCCCUGCUGUGCUGGCACAACCACUUCCGAUCAUGGCUCUGUGCUUGGGAGGAACGCGUCUGUGUUGCUUAACAGGACACGUAAGCUGGGGAGGGUAGUUUCCCUGUGGUAUUUCCAGGGCUGGAGGAUAGGGAGAGAUCCUGCAGAAGGAGAUUUGGAGCACCAAGGUUGAGCUCUUCCUCUGAGUAAUUCUGUGUGAGGAAGGCAGCUCUGUCAUGCUGUACAUUCCCGGAGCUCUGUCCCCAGCCAUCAGCUCAAACUUUCAGCUGGUGUAAAGUCGCAGCAAUCACCAUGCUGGUUUACACCCCAGCUGCUGAGCUGGCUCCUCAGGUAAACCCAGCAAGUGCUGAGCAUCCUUGGCAGCGUUUCUCUGCUGCAAUCAUAUCACCCAUCUGCAGCCCUGCUGCCAAGCGGUGGCUCUGAGCCGUGCUACCUGAGCUUGGACAGGUCGGGCAGGUGGGGAGCAGCUGGGGCUCCCAGGAAUGUGGCUGCACACCCACGCUAUGAAAAUGGGUGGCAGGUAAACAAGCAAUGGUUGCUGAGCCGUGGUCCUUGGCAGACUUGUAGGGACUGUUUGGUGGUUGCUCUACAUGCAUGGAAUUCCCAGCUGGUUCUCUACAAGAAGGACAAAGCAUGGAGCUAAGGGGGGUUUCUCUUCCAUCCCAGACUUCACAAGCCACUCACAAUGGGCAGAGGGAAGAUCUUGGCUUCGUUAUGCCCCUUCUCUUUCCUUUUGGGCUUUGCUUUACUGAGGGAUAUGACAAUUAAAGAUUGAUUGCUUGAUAUGGUCUGGUGCUUCAGACUGGUGUUUGUGGUGGUGGAAUUAAUAGCAACCACCUGGAAGAGAGCUCCUUGUUUAGACCAGUCUGGUGAUAUCAUGGGAGUGGCAAAGCCUGGGGAGAUAACACACAGCAGCCAGUCCUCUGAGAAGCAGUGGUGGCACAUGUGGCAUGGACCAUGGGGGCAUCAUCACCAUCUUGUGCCUGCAUCCAACAGCUUGCUGACUGCUCUGUCUGCAGCAUCUUCCACGGCACUAUCGGGAAAGGAAACACCAAAAGGAGAGCUUAAUGGUAGUGGCAGCUCGUGAGGAGUGAGAAGACUUGAAGCAGAAGAAGCUGCCUGAAAGUGUCAUGCUGGUAUCUCUUGGAGAUGACACAGCCUGCUCCUGGGAACCAUGAUUACAACGAAGACUGCUCUGCUCCCAGGGUGAAGAGCCAGAUGAUCUGGACAAGACAUCAGUUUCUUUACAGCUGGGAACAAAAAUAAAGAUUAAAAAAACCUAACAAA